rnacentral:rRNA from 1 species
GACGAACGCUGGCGGCGUGCUUAACACAUGCAAGUCGAACGGAAAGGCCUCUUCGGAGGUACUCGAGUGGCGAACGGGUGAGUAACACGUGGGCAAUCUGCCCUGCACUUCGGGAUAAGCCUGGGAAACUGGGUCUAAUACCGGAUAGGACCUUUAGACGCAUGUCUUUUGGUGGAAAGCUUUUGCGGUGUGGGAUGGGCCCGCGGCCUAUCAGCUUGUUGGUGGGGUGAUGGCCUACCAAGGCGACGACGGGUAGCCGGCCUGAGAGGGUGUCCGGCCACACUGGGACUGAGAUACGGCCCAGACUCCUACGGGAGGCAGCAGUGGGGAAUAUUGCACAAUGGGCGCAAGCCUGAUGCAGCGACGCCGCGUGGGGGAUGACGGCCUUCGGGUUGUAAACCUCUUUCACCAUCGACGAAGGUCCGGGUUUUCUCGGGCUGACGGUAGGUGGAGAAGAAGCACCGGCCAACUACG